GCUGGGUAUGGUGGUGCGUGCCUGUAAUCCCAGCUACUCGGGAGGCUGAGGCAGGAGAAUCACGUGAACCCAGGAGGUGGAGGUUGCAGUGAGCUGAGAUCUCACCACUGCACUCCAGCCUGGGCAAUAGCGUGAGACUCUGUUUCCA
rnacentral:sRNA from 1 species